rnacentral:rRNA from 1 species
UGGGGAAUAUUGGGCAAUGGAGGCAACUCUGACCCAGCAACGCCGCGUGAGGGAAGAAGGUUUUCGGAUUGUAAACCUCUGUCCUUGGGGACGAAGAAAGUGACGGUACCCAAGGAGGAAGCCCCGGCUAACUACGUGCCAGCAGCCGCGGUAAUACGUAGGGGGCAAGCGUUGUCCGGAAUUACUGGGCGUAAAGGGUGCGUAGGCGGUUAUUUAAGUCAGAUGUGAAAUCCCCGGGCUUAACUCGGGUGGUGCAUUUGAAACUUGGUAACUAGAGUGCAGGAGAGGGAAGCGGUAUUCCUAGUGUAGCGGUGAAAGGCGUAGAUAUUAGGAGGGACACCAGUGGCGAAGGCGGCUGUCUGGACUGUAACUGACGCUGAGGCACGAAAGCGUGGGGAGCAAACA